AUCUAAAUUUCCAAAAACAAAAAGAUGAAUUUCAAAACAUCAAUUGAAUGUUAGAGAUACAUUUUGUGUUCUUGUAUGUGUGACUAUGUGUCUUUGUACAAGAGUAUAUUCUGUUUACAACAAAACUAUACACAAAACCAAAAAGGGAAAUAAUUAAAUGUCAUCCACAUGGAUGAAUCAAAAUGGCUUCUUAAGGUGCAUG
rnacentral:lncRNA from 1 species